rnacentral:rRNA from 1 species
GACGAACGCUGGCGGCGUGCCUAAUACAUGCAAGUUGAGCGCUGAAGGUUGGUACUUGUACCAACUGGAUGAGCAGCGAACGGGUGAGUAACGCGUGGGGAAUCUGCCUUUGAGCGGGGGACAACAUUUGGAAACGAAUGCUAAUACCGCAUAAAAACUUUAAACACAAGUUUUAAGUUUGAAAGAUGCAAUUGCAUCACUCAAAGAUGAUCCCGCGUUGUAUUAGCUAGUUGGUGAGGUAAAGGCUCACCAAGGCGAUGAUACAUAGCCGACCUGAGAGGGGGAUCGGCCACAUUGGGACUGAGACACGGCCCAAACUCCUACGGGAGGCAGCAGUAGGCAAUCUUCGGCAAUGGACGAAAGUCUGACCGAGCAACGCCGCGUGAGUGAAGAAGGGUUUCGGAUCGUAAAACUCUGUUGGUAGAGAAGAACGUUGGGGAGAGUGGAAAGCUCAUCAAGUGACGGUAACUACCCAGAAAGGGACGGCUAACUACGUG